rnacentral:lncRNA from 1 species
CAUAAUAUAUUGCCUCGAACUCCAUAUCCUGAUGUCUUUCCACCACCAUUAAGAACGCUUCCAGGUCAAGGAACAAAUGAAAAAAAUAAGGACUCAACAAUGACUAGUAAGAAAGAGAAGCCAAGUAAUAAGGCAUCAUGUCCAAGCCAAACCCAAGAAAGCCAGACUCAAACUAAAUCUGCUCAAGCCUAAACCAACUCAUGCAAGCCCAAUCUCAACCUGCUCAGCCUCAACCUACACAAGCUAAGUAUCAACCUACACAAGCUUAGUUCCAGCACACAUAAGCUCAGUCUCAACCUACACAAGCUCAAUUCCAGCUUGCAAAGCUCAGUCCCAUCCAACACAAGCCUAGUUCUAGCAUGAACUAGAUUAGUCCCAACCGACACAAGCUUAGUCUCAUCCCGCAAAAUAAAGACAGGACUCAGAACAACCUUAGCCUAAGCCUACAAAACCUCUUAGAGACAGAACUCAUAAAAAACACAUUGCACAAGCUCAAACCCAACCUGUGGAAGCUCAUUAUCAAACUGCUCAAUGUCAACCUAUUUCUACUGCAACACAACGUGUUCAAGCUCAAUCAAGUCAUUUUAGGCCAAAGUUCUAAACAUGGAGGAUAUAGUAUUAGAAUCUGUCAAUUUUUAUAUAUGUCAUUUUGUUUAUGUCUUUGAUUAAGCUCAGUCAAACACCUUUUUGCUAGUCAAACACUUUAUGAUCACUUUAUAUCAUUUGGUGUCUUCUAUACCACUUGAAUGAUGUUUACUUUGUUUUGAAUGGAAUGGAGUAUGUUUGGGAAACAAAUUAUGUGCAUGAAUGAAAUAGACUUUGGCAAAUGGCAGAAUGGUAAGUGCUCAAUUACCA